rnacentral:rRNA from 1 species
AAUAGAUACCCCGGUAGUCCACGCCGUAAACGGUGGGCACUAGGUGUGGGCAGCAUUCCACGUUGUCCGUGCCGUAGCUAACGCAUUAAGUGCCCCGCCUGGGGAGUACGGCCGCAAGGCUAAAACUCAAAGGGAAUUGACGGGGGCCCGCACAAGCGGCGGAGCAUGUGGCUUAAUUCGACGCAACGCGAAGAACCUUACCAAGGCUUGACAUACACCGGAAACAUCCAGAGAUGGGUGCCCCCUUGUGGUCGGUGUACAGGUGGUGCAUGGCUGUCGUCAGCUCGUGUCGUGAGAUGUUGGGUUAAGUCCCGCAACGAGCGCAACCCUUGUCCCGUGUUGCCAGCAGGCCCUUGUGGUGCUGGGGACUCACGGGAGACCGCCGGGGUCAACUCGGAGGAAGGUGGGGACGACGUCAAGUCAUCAUGCCCCUUAUGUCUUGGGCUGCACACGUGCUACAAUGGCCGGUACAAAGAGCUGCGAUACCGUGAGGUGGAGCGAAUCUCAAAAAGCCGGUCUCAGUUCGGAUUGGGGUCUGCUAACCG